rnacentral:ncRNA from 1 species
GUCGUGCACCACUUGUCAUAUUUUAUGACCGCCUUUUGUACCUUUGCAACUCACAUGGUUUCUCUGAAUACCGCACUUAAUUUUACGUUACAAAUAGGGUACUCAAAGACCCAUGCCUAUUUUGCUCAAUAAAUUGAAUCGAAUUGAAUUGAAAGUGUGCCGCUGGAGACUGCUGUGUGUUGCCCCUUUGUCCCAGCUUUCUGAGUGUUGUUGCUCAGCCUCACGAUUGUACAUUCACAGAGUUCUCUUAGUGUUGCAAAGCUUGCAAUCUGGGGCAUUUCUGCCCAACAUGUAUUUUCUUGUUGAGAAUAAUAAAUACUGCCUAGCCAAAUUCUUCGUCAUCUAAUGAGUGACGUGCAUGAAUGGAUUAAAGAGAUUUCUACUGUCCCUAUCUACUAUCCAGCGAAACCACAGCCAAGGGAACGGGCUUGGCAGCAUCAGUGGGGAAAGAAGAACUUGUUGAGCUUGACCCUAGUCCUACUCUGUGAAGAAACAUGGCGGGUGUAGUGAUAAGUGGGAGGCGGGAAUCGCCCUUCGGGGUCUCUCUUUCGACCAUGAAAGACCACUCCCAGAAUGGUUUCUUUACUUUUUCAGUUAAGCGGGAACUGUCAAUUAUGUUCCAUUUUGACAUUAAGCACACGUAAGUGUAUUGUUCGCACCCCGAGUGUGGCUGGCGUGCCAGCAUCUUGGUCGCAACAAUCUGGCCAGGUCUAAUGAUAUGCGUGUUUUGCCCUCUACUGCCUGUUAGUUGUUGCUGCAAGGUGGCAGUCCAUAGCUGGUAGACGGUGGGCGCAUGUGUCCGGUCUUGGUGCUAUCAAGCAGUUUUGGCUACAUGCGACCCGAUCUGAAAACAGUGUCAGGCGGGGAGUUUGACUGUGGCCGUACAUCUGUCAAAU